UACGGGGGGAGCAAGCGUUGUUCGGAUUUACUGGGCGUAAAGGGCGCGUAGGCGGCCACCGCAAGUCGGUCGUGAAAUCUCCGGGCUUAACCCGGAAAGGUCAAUCGAUACUGCGGGGCUAGAGUGCAGAAGGGGCAACUGGAAUUCUCGGUGUAGCGGUGAAAUGCGUAGAUAUCGAGAGGAACACCUGCGGCGAAGGCGGGUUGCUGGGCUGACACUGACGCUGAAGCGCGAAAGCUAGGGGAGCGAACGGG
rnacentral:rRNA from 1 species